rnacentral:rRNA from 1 species
GAUGAACGCUGGCGGCGUGCCUAAUACAUGCAAGUCGAGCGAACGGACGAGAAGCUUGCUUCUCUGAUGUUAGCGGCGGACGGGUGAGUAACACGUGGAUAACCUACCUAUAAGACUGGGAUAACUUCGGGAAACCGGAGCUAAUACCGGAUAAUAUUUUGAACCGCAUGGUUCAAAAGUGAAAGACGGUCUUGCUGUCACUUAUAGAUGGAUCCGCGCUGCAUUAGCUAGUUGGUAAGGUAACGGCUUACCAAGGCAACGAUGCAUAGCCGACCUGAGAGGGUGAUCGGCCACACUGGAACUGAGACACGGUCCAGGCUCCUACGGGAGGCAGCGGUAGGGACGCUUCGGCGAUGGGCGGAAGCCUGACGGAGCAACGCCGCGUGAGUGAUGAAGGUCUUCGGAUCGUAAAACUCUGUUAUUAGGGAAGAACAUAUGUGUAAGUAACUGUGCACAUCUUGACGGUACCUAAUCAGAAAGCAACGGCUAACUACGUG